ACUAAUUACUGAACAAUUAACAAAUAACGUAUUCCAUAAUCAAACUACCAAAUUAACACAUAUUCCCUAACAAUCAAUCAUUUCACUAACACUUUAUUACUAGCAAGUAGCAACACAUUUGUAUAGUAAUAUAAAUUUUCAACAUGCUCUGCAUGAUCCUAGAACUUGCUCAUAUUCUGACAUCGUCACUGUAAUCAUCAAACCCAUGCCUUCACUUUGUUAUUCUCUACUUAGGACUUUUCAUUUUUUUCCCAUGCCUUCACAUCAAAUAACCUUUUCUCUGUCUCUAUUUCUCCAAUAACAAAACCUGUAUAGAACAAAUGGCACUAACAAUAAACAUGGGAAUUAAAAUGUAUUGGCUGAACAUAAACUUAAAAUGUAUUGGUUGAGCUAUGUAAAUUAGUUAAUGGAAAUCCAAAUGACAUGGUUUCCAUUUACUAAUCUCCAAUUGUAAUUAUAGAGCACUUAACACAUUUUCUUAACCACGUAUUCAUUAGGGUAUCGCGUUUUCUACUUUAGAAAAAAAUAAUUCUUUAAAAAACUGCAGAUAGCUAGCAAAGAAAAAACUUAAAAUUCAUAUACAUCAAAAUGCUAUAAAGAAGGAGCAGUUCAGUUUUUAUAAUGGUACAAUUGUGAAGGCCAAAGCUGAAAUGAUACCUCCAAAUCUCGAUUCUUCACGUCUGCAACGAAGUUCUAUUUCAUAUAACGCAAGAUCUGAAUUCAUUGUCCUCACUCACUAUACUCAAUCAAAUGAAUGCGAAUAAAUUUUUUGCAUCAAAUAAAUAUUUAUGCCAAAUCUGUAAUUUGUUAAAUAGAUAAUACUCAUCAAUACAAGAAGCCAUUUCCCACCUUUAUGUGGAUGUGUAACUAAAAGAAUAUAAUAAGUAUCUAAGCAUUUUCCUUUAUUUAAUUAGUAUUUCUAAGUUUAAUCAACUCCAAAAUACACAUUGGGCUGACCCUGCAUCUGAAUCUUAAUUAUAUUACAUGAAAGUGUAGUAUAUUAAAAUAAUACAAUCAAUUUGGGUCUGCUAUUAAAACUAAAUUGCUCAUCUGACUUUCUAUUCCAAAUAAUAGGUCUGACAUCUACUUAAAAACAAGCCCAUGAUUUUACUUUUAGUUAUAAAAGAUUUCAUUUUAAAAUUUGAUUUAGUCAUGUCCUACCUACAUACCAUAGGGUCUGCCUUGCAUCUAAAUCUUGAUCAUAUUACAUGGAUCAAAUUUGGUGGUAAAUGAUGGAGGGAAAAGGUUUGUUAUUGGACCGAUGAAGAUGAACUCCCUAUUCUCAUUGCCCAUUGCAAGCUUGCAUUGAAGGAUUACAAUGAAAAAAAUAUGCAUAAGCAGGUGAACCUGCUUAUUAGAGUAUACAAUAUUGUAUGUUUAUUCAUUAACUACCUUAAACUAAUCGUUCUUCUUAAUUAUUAGGGUUCAUCUUUUGUGUUUCAUCAACUUUGGUACUGCUGAUCCGGUGUAUUACAUUACCUUUCAAGCAAAAGCAAAAGAAGUUCCUUCCAACAGCCCUGCUAUAACAACUUUUCACGCUGAAGUAUGGGACAAUCAAGAUACACCACCUGAGGUCAA
rnacentral:lncRNA from 1 species